GACUCGUCACACUAUCAUUAACUGAAUCCAUAGGUUAAUGAGGCGAACCGGGGGAACUGAAACAUCUAAGUACCCCGAGGAAAAGAAAUCAACCGAGAUUCCCCCAGUAGCGGCGAGCGAACGGGGAGGAGCCCAGAGCCUGAAUCAGCAUGUGUGUUAGUGGAAGCGUCUGGAAAGGCGCGCGAUACAGGGUGACAGCCCCGUACACAAAAGCGCAUGUGCUGUGAGCUCGAUGAGUAGGGCGGGACACGUGGUAUCCUGUCUGAAUAUGGGGGGACCAUCCUCCAAGGCUAAAUACUCCUGACUGACCGAUAGUGAACCAGUACCGUGAGGGAAAGGCGAAAAGAACCCCGGCGAGGGGAGUGAAAAAGAACCUGAAACCGUGUACGUACAAGCAGUGGGAGCCCCACCACUAAGCCAGUGGUGAACUCCACAUACGCAUCCUUUGCUGAGGAUGCGGUUAACGGAGCGAAAGCGACGUUCAACCGCAAAAGAAGCAGAGGGGGCUUAGUGGUGGGGUGACUGCGUACCUUUUGUAUAAUGGGUCAGCGACUUAUAUUCUGUAGCAAGGUUAACCGAAUAGGGGAGCCGGAGGGAAACCGAGUCUUAAU
rnacentral:rRNA from 1 species